CCAGACUCAUACGGGAGGCAGCAGUGGGGGAAUAUUGGACAAUGGGCGCAAGCCUGAUCCAGCCAUACCGCGUGGGUGAGGAAGGCCUUCGGGUUGUAAAGCCCUUUUGUUGGGAAAGAAAUCCAGCCGGCUAAUACCUGGUUGGGAUGACGGUACCCAAAGAAUAAGCACCGGCUAACUUCGUGCCAGCAGCCGCGGUAAUACGAAGGGUGCAAGCGUUACUCGGAAUUACUGGGCGUAAAGCGUGCGUAGGUGGUUAUUUAAGUCCGUUGUGAAAGCCCUGGGCUCAACCUGGGAACUGCAGUGGAUACUGGAUGACUAGAAUGUGGUAGAGGGUAGCGGAAUUCCUGGUGUAGCAGUGAAAUGCGUAGAGAUCAGGAGGAACAUCCAUGGCGAAGGCAGCUACCUGGACCAACAUUGACACUGAGGCACGAAAGCGUGGGGAGCAAACAGGAUUAGAUACCCUGGUAGUCCACGCCCUAAACGAUGCGAACUGGAUGUUGGGUGCAAUUUGGCACGCAGUAUCGAAGCUAACGCGUUAAGUUCGCCGCCUGGGGAGUACGGUCGCAAGACUGAAACUCAAAGGAAUUGACGGGGGCCCGCACAAG
rnacentral:rRNA from 1 species